CAGCCGCCGCGGUAAUACCGGCGGCCCGAGUGGCGGCCACUAUUAUUGGGCUUAAAGCGUCCGUAGCCGGGUUGGUUAGUCUCCCGGGAAAUCUGGCCGCUUAACGGUCAGAAUUCCGGGAGAUACUGCCAGCCUAGGGACCGGGAGAGGCCGAGGGUAUUCCCGGAGGAGGGGUGAAAUCCUAUAAUCCCGGGAGGACCACCUGUGGCGAAGGCGCUCGGCUGGAACGGGUCCGACGGUGAGGGACGAAGGCCAGGGGAGCAAACCGGAUUAGAUACCCGGGUAGUCCUGGCUGUAAACGAUGCGGACUUUGUGUCGGACAAGCUAUGAGCUUGUCCGGUGCCGGAGGGAAACCGUUAAGUCCGCCGCCUGGGGAGUACGGCCGCAAGGCUGAAACUUAAAGGAAUUGGCGGG
rnacentral:rRNA from 1 species